AGUCGAACGGACGAGGCCCCUUCGGGGACCGAGUUAGUGGCGAACGGGUGAGUAACGCGUGAGGAACCUGCCUUUCAGUGGGGGACAACAGUUGGAAACGACUGCUAAUACCGCAUGAAGCAUUUAGGGGGCAUCCCCUGAAUGCCAAAGAUUUAUUGCUGAAAGAUGGCCUCGCGUCUGAUUAGCUAGUUGGAGGGGUAACGGCCCACCAAGGCGACGAUCAGUAGCCGGUCUGAGAGGAUGAACGGCCACAUUGGGACUGAGAUACGGCCCAGACUCCUACGGGAGGCAGCAGUGGGGAAUAUUGGGCAAUGGGGGAAACCCUGACCCAGCAACGCCGCGUGAAGGAAGAAGGCUUUCGGGUUGUAAACUUCUUUUACCAGGGACGAAGAAAGUGACGGUACCUGGAGAAAAAGCCACGGCUAACUACGUGCCAGCAGCCGCGGUAAUACGUAGGUGGCAAGCGUUGUCCGGAUUUACUGGGUGUAAAGGGCGUGUAGGCGGAGAUUCAAGUCAGGAGUGAAAACUAUGGG
rnacentral:rRNA from 1 species